ACGCUCGACACCUACGGGAGGCAGCAGGUGGGGAAUAUUGCACAAUGGGGGAAACCCUGAUGCAGCGACGCCGCGUGAGCGAAGAAGUAUUUCGGUAUGUAAAGCUCUAUCAGCAGGGAAGAAAGUGACGGUACCUGACUAAGAAGCACCGGCUAAAUACGUGUCAGCAGCCGCGGUAAUCUGAGCGGGCUGGCAAGGC
rnacentral:rRNA from 1 species